rnacentral:tRNA from 1 species
GCUGGAAUAGCUCAGUUGGUAGAGCACUUCCAUGGUAAGGAAGGGGUCGCGGGUUCAAGUCCCGCUUCUAGCUCCA